ensembl:processed_transcript 1700066O22Rik RIKEN cDNA 1700066O22 gene
UCCCUCAAAACAUCUCACAAGUCAGAUGCAGGCAUGAGGACAGAUGGAGAAACAUCACAGAGCCGUCAUUUCUGGAAAUUGACUCAACACAGGGGAUCUAAGCUGACAGAGCUGGGAUUCAGAGCUAUGCCUUCCAGCUCCCUAACACAGGCUUGAGCAGGUCUAACAUCCUGCUGUUCCUGUAUCCCACUUCAUUAAAACCCACAUAGUGGUUCCCAUGGGCUGAGGCUCACAUGUAGAUUAUGGUUCAUAACAUUUUAUGAAAGGAAGGUCAACCCAGAAAUGGUUAGCACGAGGCAUUAAAUACUUAAGGAAGCAUGCAAAGGCUGAUGUAGCAGGAUGCUGACCAACAUAAUGUGUGUCUCCCUAGAGCAUCUGCAGAUAAUUUAGUAGUUGUCCACUGUGAAAGAAAUGCAUUGAAUGAAAUAUAUUUCAAACAACACAAUCGGAAGCAUCGUGGAACUACUCAAAUGAUAAUUCCUAUUUGUAUUCAUUGCCAUGAAAAUAUGCCUGUCAUAUAUUUUCAAAUAAAACAAACUACAAAAACCAUGU